UGAAGAAGAAUUUGAAUUACCUUUGGGAGCAACCCCUGACGAUGAGAUGGAAGAAAUCGUGGCCUUUUGGUCGAGACGUCCUCGCAAUAGCCGCGACGCCCUAGAUUAUGAACGAGAUAUGCGGUAUGUAGAAUGGUUAUUUUUUCAACCGGACACAUAUCAAAUGGCUGAAUCUAUCGACGACGGAAUUCGAAGAAUAAGUGAGCUCUGGGACGACGAGGAUGAAUCGUGGUAUUUGGACGAGUUGAAAUACUAUAGGAGAGAUAUGCGUUAUCUCAACUGGUUGAAAAAAAGAAAAAGAAGAUAGGUAAGUAAUACAGGAAUUAUUAUUUCUGUUUUUCCUAUUCUAUUCUAACAAAAGACGUUUUUUCAUUUUUCAGAACUAAGAAGAACGUAGGGGUAAGUAAGCGAAAUUUCAUUUUAUAUUUUCUUUUUAAAAAUAUGUAUUUUUUAUUUAUAGUUCCUCUCAAGACAACCAACAGACAACCAAUUUGGGUCCUUCUAAGAAGCUACGACAUCAUCAAGUAAUCAACCGGAUCAAAGUGCUAUGUAAAUAUAGAACAAUAAAUAAAUUUAAUCUUGUUGACAGAUCUGUAUAACGUAUUAUUGUUUUUAAGAAUGAACCGGUUACACAUCGUAGUCAGCGAGAUAGAGAAGUGCAAAGGUUUAGUACUACUUGUACCGAAUAUGUCUUCGAGGUAGAUGACAC
rnacentral:lncRNA from 1 species